rnacentral:rRNA from 1 species
UACGUAGGUGACAAGCGUUGUCCGGAUUUACUGGGCGUAAAGAGCGCGCAGGCGGUCUUGUAAGUCGAAUGUGAAAGCCCCUGGCUCAACCAGGGAGGGUCAUUCGAUACUGCUUGACUCGAAGGCAGGAGAGGGAAGUGGAAUUCCGGGUGUAGUGGUGAAAUGCGUAGAUAUCCGGAGGAACACCAGUGGCGAAGGCGACUUUCUGGCCUGUUCUUGACGCUGAGGCGCGAAAGCUAGGGGAGCAAACGGG